GACCGUGGGCAAGCUGGCUGCUGUUCCCCUCCACCUCCCCAUGGAUCCCGCCAGCCUUUCUCUUCAGGAGACCUGAGGCUCAGGCACCCACGUCACGGUGAGCACCUGCUGGUCUGCAGCCAGCCAACCCCCCAGCGGGGGUUCUGGGAUGGCGCAUCUUUACAGGUGCAGACAGCCUCGUCUUUCGCCUUUGGAAUGGCGGGUGGGCUGACCCACCCAGCCACCAGAGUUCCUGCGAGGUGCCCUCCUCCUUCCUCCACCCCCACAGCAGAGGCAGCCCCGGGCCAUGCUGGCUGCCUGUUGACCCAUUGGGCAUCUCCAGAGCAACGCUGCCCAAUGGAGAUACCAGAGAACCGCCGCUGACUGCAGCUGAAGGUUGUCGAAGGUCGCAUGGAGCAAUUCCGGAGCUGCGUGUCACAGACCUCUU